rnacentral:rRNA from 1 species
AAUAGAUACCCGGGUAGUCCUAGCCGUAAACGAUACUCGCUAGGUGUCGGCCACGGUGCGACCGUUGUCGGUGCCGUAGGGAAGCCGUGAAGCGAGCCACCUGGGAAGUACGGCCGCAAGGCUGAAACUUAAAGGAAUUGGCGGGGGGAGCACCACAACGGGUGGAGCUUGCGGUUUAAUUGGAUUCAACGCCGGAAAUCUUACCGGGACCGACAGCAACAUGAAGGCCAGGCUGAAGACUUUGCCGGAUUAGCUGAGAGGUGGUGCAUGGCCGUCGUCAGUUCGUACUGUGAAGCAUCCUGUUAAGUCAGGCAACGAGCGAGACCCACGCCCACAGUUGCCAGCGUACUCUCUGGAGUGACGGGUACACUGUGGGGACCGCCGCUGCUAAAGCGGAGGAAGGAAUGGGGCAACGGUAGGUCAGUAUGCCCCGAAUAUCCCGGGGCUACACGCGAGCUACAAUGGUUGGUACAAUGGGUAUCUACCCCGAAAGGGGAUGGAAAUCUCCUAAAGCCAAUCUUAGUUCGGAUUGAGGGCUGCAACUCGCCCUC